rnacentral:rRNA from 1 species
GCUUGCUCGAGGGUCAGAAGCCCCUAGGGCAUCACAGCUGUAGCUGAUAAUUAGUACAUAUCUUCACAAGACUCUAUCGAAAUCGGUCAGCUAGAUCACUUCUUCGUGUGAGUAGUAAGCUAGGGAGCACACUGGAUUAGAUUGUUUGUUAGUCCUAGUACUCAACUAUCAGCACUUCGGGUACCUCCCGGACGGGCGUCGUCCCUGAGGUACAGCAGUAUGUCAAGCAGUCUGGGGAGUACGGUCGCAAGAUUCAAUUCAGAGGAAUUGCACGGGGGCCCGCACAAUUGGUGGAACAUGUGGUUCAAUUCGACGGUACGCGAGGAUCCUUACGUGGGCUCGAAAAGGUAGUUACCAGCUUUUAAAUAUUGCCUUCCGGCAAGGGACACUAGUAUCGGCGUGCAUGGCUGUAGUCAGCUCGUUCCGUGAGGUGUUGGGUUAAGUCGCGGAACGAGCGCAUCACCCUGCACACAGUUGUUACUGAUUAGAGAGGACUGCGUGUGGUAGGCUCCGGAUAACGGAGAGGAAGGUGGGGAUGACGUCAAUUCUGCAUGGCCUUUAUGUCCAGGGCUACACACGGGUUACAAUCCUGGGCACAAGCCGUUUCCAACCCGGGAGGGGGAUCUAAUCAGAAAAAACUCUGCUCAGUUCGGAUUGCAGUCUGCAACUCGUAUGCAUGAAGCGGGAAUCGUUAGUAAUGGUGUAUCAGAUCGGAGCCGUGAAUACGUUCCCGGGCCUUGUACACACCCCCCGUCCCAUCCCGAAAGUGAGUUGUACUAGAAGUCGCCGGGCUAACAGCAAGGAGGCAAGCGCCCAAGGUAUGUUUCAUGAUUGGGGCGAAGUCGUACAAGGUAACCAAGGGCGAAUUUGCGGCCAGUCCAAUCAAGCGCCUUAUUUGGAG